AAAGUCGUAACAAGGUUUCCGUAGGUGAACCUGCGGAAGGAUCAUCAAUAAUCCAAAUGAUUAGUGACUUCAAAACUCACUGAUCUAACCUUCUUGUGAACCGUUUAUUGUAUUUAUCGGUUGGGAGUAUAACUGAGAUGUCAACUAUGUUGCCAGAUCAACUCCCAAUCGAUUAUUUUUAUACAAACUAUUUUAUUUUUAAAGUUGAUUAUUUUACAGGAAACUGUACUAAUAUAUAUACAACUUAUAGCGAUGGAUCUCUAGGCUCUG
rnacentral:misc_RNA from 1 species